CUCAGCCAGUUCUAAUGUAAUAGGAGAUGCAGUUUAUUUAAGCUAUUUGCAAGUGUAAUAACAGUUGUUGUUUUAAGAAAUUAUUUUUAUUUUUAGCCUUUUGUCUGUGGGAAAAGCAGGAGACGCUUCGAUUUUUCUGAUUCUGACCACAACAGGACAUUAUUCCCUCUUUCCUCUGCUCUUCACUGCACCAGAACUUCCCAUUAAAAUCUUACUCAUGUUACUAUUCACCAUAUAUAGUAUUUCGUCACUGAAGACUUUAUUCAGAAAAGAAAAACCUCUUUUUAAUUGGAUGGAAACUUUCUACCUGCUUGGCCUGGGGCCUCUGGAAGUCUGCUGUGAAUUUGUAUUCCCUUUCACCUCCUGGAAGGUGAAGUACCCCUUCAUCCCUUUGUUACUAACCUCAGUGUAUUGUGCAGUAGGCAUCACAUAUGCUUGGUUCAAACUGUAUGUUUCAGUAUUGAUUGACUCUGCUAUUGGCAAGACAAAGAAACAAUGAAUAAAGGAACUGCUUAGA
rnacentral:lncRNA from 1 species